rnacentral:lncRNA from 1 species
GCUGACUAAAGAAGACAUUGCUGGAAGCAUCUGCAGUAUUCUAGAAGGCCUUGAUGGAAUGGCCUCUCCAGCCUUCAUCACUUCAAGCAACCAACUCUCCUGUCAGCCAACCCAGGUCUUCUCAGUGUCGGCCUCUUGCUUGGCUUGGUACAUGGCUGCCUUGGGAACUCAGGCACAACCAUGAAGCCCUUCCCUCAACUGUCUUCUUCCAGUCCCCUCACCUUUUCUUUCAGACCUUUCCAUGACAAAGACUGAUCCCUUCUUACGUAUUCUUGUCUGGGGGCAUCCACAGAUUGCAGACAGGCAAUUGAUUUUGUUCAGCUUUGAACCCAAAAGCUAAUCAAAGAUACCCAGCUCUGUUCUGGUUGCUCUCUGCGAGGAUCUGAAGCACAAUCCUGUGGAAGAAAGAUGAGUUGCAUAUGCUUGUCCAUGUCUGAGCUGUAGAACACAUAGAAAUUUCAAGAAGAGGAAGAUGAAGCGAAGAUGAUGACAUAGCCAAGGAAAGAUGAAAGGAGCUCCCUCGUCUGUCCUUUGUCUCCCAUGUUCUCUAAGCAUACAGCAGUGCCUGUGGGCAUCUGAGAGCCUAAAAGACUGGGUCUUCCUCAGCCCGAUCACCAUUAAAAGUCUAUUGGGAAGAAUCCAGCAUGAGACAAAUAGUGGGAAAAGCUGAUUCUAUGAGGAAAAGGGAAGAAGCAUGCCGCCUGCGGAGAACAUCCAAUCAAUGCAGCUGUUAUUCUAGCACAAAUAUUCCAGCACGGGACAGAUGUGCAGGAACAUCCCCCAACGGUGCUCUGUGGAGACGGAGUGCGAGUGUGCUUGCCAGAGCUGCCUUGACUACAGGCUGUCCCUGUGACCUCUUUGCUUGUGCCCCGUACUCCUGCAUUCUUUUAAACAGUGUCUUUCCCAUGGCACUGGUACACACUCAGUGUGUCCAGAAUCAGGGCUCAGGAACCAUGGGAGGGCAAGAAGGCAAUUGA